ACGGGUGAGUAAUAUAUCGGAACGUGCCCAAUCGUGGGGGAUAACGUAGAGAAAUUUACGCUAAUACCGCAUACGAUCUAAGGAUGAAAGCGGGGGAUCGCAAGACCUCGCGCGAUUGGAGCGGCUGAUAUCAGAUUAGGUUGUUGGUGAGGUAAAAGCUCACCAAGCCGACGAUCUGUAGCUGGUUUGAGAGAACGACCAGCCACACUGGGACUGAGACACGGCCCAGACUCCUACGGGAGGCAGCAGUGGGGAAUUUUGGACAAUGGGCGAAAGCCUGAUCCAGCAAUGCCGCGUGCAGGAAGAAGGCCUUCGGGUUGUAAACUGCUUUUGUACGGAACGAAACGGUCUGCCCUAAUACGGCGGGCUAAUGACGGUACCGUAAGAAUAAGCACCGGCUAACUACGUGCCAGCAGCCGCGGUAAUACGUAGGGUGCGAGCGUUAAUCGGAAUUACUGGGCGUAAAGCGUGCGCAGGCGGUUAUGUAAGACAGUUGUGAAAUCCCCGGGCUCAACCUGGGAAUUGCAUCUGUGACUGCAUAGCUAGAGUACGGUAGAGGGGGAUGGAAUUCCGCGUGUAGCAGUGAAAU
rnacentral:rRNA from 1 species